rnacentral:rRNA from 1 species
GACGAACGCUGGCGGCGUGCUUAACACAUGCCAGUCGAACGGAAAGGCCCUGCUUGCAGGGUACUCGAGUGGCGAACGGGUGAGUAACACGUGGGUGAUCUGCCCUGCACUUCGGGAUAAGCCUGGGAAACUGGGUCUAAUACCGGAUAGGAGCCAUUUUUAGUGUGAUGGUUGGAAAGUUUUUUCGGUGUAGGAUGAGCUCGCGGCCUAUCAGCUUGUUGGUGGGGUAAUGGCCUACCAAGGCGGCGACGGGUAGCCGGCCUGAGAGGGUGGACGGCCACAUUGGGACUGAGAGACGGCCCAGACUCCUACGGGAGGCAGCAGUGGGGAAUAUUGCACAAUGGGCGCAAGCCUGAUGCAGCGACGCCGCGUGGGGGAUGACGGCCUUCGGGUUGUAAACUCCGUUCGCUAGGGACGAAGCUUUUUGUGACGGUACCUAGAUAAGAAGCACCGGCUAACUACGUG